rnacentral:rRNA from 1 species
UACGUGGGGGGCAAGCGUUGUCCGGAUUUAUUGGGCGUAAAGAGCGUGUAGGCGGCCUGGUAGGUCAGCUGUGAAAACUCGAGGCUCAACCUCGAGACGUCGGUUGAAACCACCUGGCUAGAGUCCGGAAGAGGAGAGUGGAAUUCCUGGUGUAGCGGUGAAAUGCGCAGAUAUCAGGAAGAACACCCGUGGCGAAGGCGGCUCUCUGGGACGGUACUGACGCUGAGACGCGAAAGCGUGGGGAGCGAACAGG